rnacentral:rRNA from 1 species
AACGAACGCUGGCGGCAGGCCUAACACAUGCAAGUCGAGCGAUGACUUCGGUCCUAGCGGCGGACGGGUGAGUAACGCGUGGGAACGUGCCCUUUGCUUCGGAAUAGCCCUGGGAAACUGGGAGUAAUACCGGAUGAGCCCUUUGGGGGAAAGAUUUAUCGGCGAAGGAUCGGCCCGCGUUGGAUUAGGUAGUUGGUGGGGUAAUGGCCUACCAAGCCGACGAUCCAUAGCUGGUUUGAGAGGAUGAUCAGCCACACUGGGACUGAGACACGGCCCAGACUCCUACGGGAGGCAGCAGUGGGGAAUCUUAGACAAUGGGGGAAACCCUGAUCUAGCCAUGCCGCGUGAGCGAUGAAGGCCUUAGGGUUGUAAAGCUCUUUCAGCUGGGAAGAUAAUGACGGUACCAGCAGAAGAAGCCCCGGCUAACUCCGUG